rnacentral:misc_RNA from 1 species
GGAGAUUUAACUCUCUAGCUAAGGCUUGCUUUUGCUUAGGGUUGAGAGUACUGUGAAGUUUGAAGCUCUCUUCCAAAAGGGCAGAUUGUUCUUUAGUUAGCCUAAGUUUUUUUCUAGCAUUAGAACCAUCUUCUUCUUCGUCGCUAACUCGAGAAGAAGCUUUCUCUUCUUCAAUAUCUUCACCACCGGAAACAUCUCUUUCACGCUUGACCUUACCGCCAGAGAAAGAAGAAAUCGCACUGUGAGGAGAUGGUUGCCGUGACAAAUCAGCGGUUUCAGAUGGGUAAGUGUCGACGGUGGAAAGCCCCAAAGUUAAGGAAGGCUCGGAUUCAGGGGGGGGAAAACAGAGCAAAUCCAGGGGCUUCUUGGGUUUUUGAGAAAGAUGGGGAGGAUUAGAG